UACGUAGGGGGCGAGCGUUGUCCGGAAUUAUUGGGCGUAAAGAGCUCGUAGGCGGUUUGUCACGUCUGCUGUGAAAUCCCGAGGCUCAACCUCGGGCCUGCAGUGGGUACGGGCAGACUGGAGUGCGGUAGGGGAGAUUGGAAUUCCUGGUGUAGCGGUGGAAUGCGCAGAUAUCAGGAGGAACACCAAUGGCGAAGGCAGAUCUCUGGGCCGUAACUGACACUCAGGGACGAAAGCUAGGGGAGCGAAUGGG
rnacentral:rRNA from 1 species